CCCCCUUUUCUUUCACUCUAUCACUGCGUCUCUCUGCUUUCAGGUGUUUUUCUGUCCAAUGUGACUCUGCCAACGCUUGUUGAAAAUUACUUCCAUUAGCUUGCUGCAAAUCAUUGUCACUGUGGAACUGAAUCCCUGUUUGUGUUUUCAAAAUUCAAAGCACAAUGUAAUUUAUGUUCGUACUUUAAAUAUGAAGUUAGUGACUACAGAAGUAUUGGGAUAUAUCAACACAUUGUUGAACUUCUGCAGAUCACUUCUCUUUGUGUAAAGGAUUGUGGGUAAAGGCGAAGUUUUAAGGGUAUCGGGGAUCUCUGAAUCGGGGAUCUCUGAAUCGGGGAUCUCUGAAUCGGGGAUCUCUGAAUCGGGGAUCUCUGAAUCGGGGAUCUCUGAAUCGGGGAUCUCUGAAUCGGGGAUCUCUGAAUCGGGGAUCUCUGAAUCGGGGAUCUCUGAAUCGGGGAUCUCUGAAUCGGGGAUCUCUGAAUCGGGGAUCUCUGAAUCGGGGAUCUCUGAAUCGGGGAUCUCUGAAGGGUGUACCAAUUUAUAUUUUGCAUACUACAAUCUUUGAAUCAGGAUCUUUGAAUCGGGAUCAAGUCAACUGUAUUUCAUCCAGCUAUGCAUACUGUAUACUGCAGCAAUAGUAAGAGUAGCAUGCACUUCAAAACGUUAGCCGCCUUUUCACUGGAGUGUAGUUGUCUGCUAACCCUUCCCAUAAUGCCCCUGACUCAUGCUCUGGUGGAAACGGACCACUCUGAGGUCAGAGGUCCACUCUGAACAUGACAAGUCUGAUUACCCAGAAUCCCUCAGAACAGCAUUCCUUGGCCUGCUAGCGUUGCUAAGAGAUCACAUCAGAGAAAAGCUGUUUUUAAUUGCAUCUCAGGUUGGAUUAUGACCUGAGUGAAUCUGUGCCCAGAGAGGUGCCGAUUAAAGUUUAGCCAAAAAACACUGUGUGAGAACGUUUUUAUGAUCCAUUUAAAAGCAGCACAUGUGAAAAUUCUCCCCCACAAACACUUUACGUUUAACUGCUCUUGUAGUUCACACGUUUUACACUGGUAAAAAAUGAAUAUUAAAGUGUUCUAUGCUCUUCAGGUAUUGUCCCUCUUUGGUGUAAGUCUUGUGUUCACUUGUAUCUUUAAUGUAAUGAUUGUUUUUGAAGACUGUUUGACAGAUCAAGUUUAUUGAUUGGAUGGCUAGACUUUGUGGUUGUCAUGGCAACAACCCAGUGAGAGCUAAAGGUCAUGGAUGAAGAGGUUUACUUGAAGUCUCUUGAGCCGUCCUUGGUGUUUGGCUAAGGCCGUGGGUGCAGUAUGUUUGGUCAGGAUCUCAAAGGGGUUGUAAAAGGUUUCAUCCUCUUGGCGAGAAAGAGAGCGAAUGUGCUAAUGGAUCCACGCACUAACACAUUCUCUGACCACUGUCACUCUAAGGGCCUUCAGAGAGUUGAAUGUUUUCCGAAAAAUAAAAGGUUUUUCACACUUAUGUUUAGAUAUUUUGGUUUGUUACAUUUGUGAAAAUGACUAAAAAUGACCAAAUAAAACAUUUUGGUUAGUUGGUUGGUUUUGUCGUGGUGGUUUUUUUUUUUUUUUUUUUUUUUUUUUGUCCUUUUUAGUUGUUUAAAUAACCAAAUUACUAAAUAAAAUGUUGGUUAUAAUAAUAGUUGGUUGUUGUUGUUGUUGUUGUUGUUGUUGUUGUUGUUGUUGUUGUUGUUCUUCUUCUUAUUAUUAUUAUUAUUAUUAUUAUUAUUAUUAUUAUUAUUAUUUAAUAUUAUUAAUAAUUUAUUUUAUUUAUCUUUUAUUUUUAGUUAUAACCAACAUUUUAUUUGGUAAUUUUGGGUUUGUUUGGUUGUGGGUUUUUUUUUUUUUUUUUUUUUUUUUUUUUUUUUUUUUUAGUGGUUCAUUUACUUGUUGAUAAUAUUUAUUAUUAUUAUUAUUAUUAUUAUUAUUAUUAUUAUUAUUAUUAUUAUUUAACAAUAGCAAUAACAAUGUAUUUUGUCACCAUUUUAAAUUGGUUAAAUAAUAUACAUAAAUUUGUGCAAAACAAUUACAUUAUAAAUGGAAAAGGCACCCAUAUUGUAGAAUUUCCUGCUUCAUCCUGCAUUAUUUUGCUCAAGGAAAAUAGAAAUGGAAUUCUUUUGGCAUGUUUACGUGUAGUCGGGAUGACGCAACUGUAAGUCUGCAGUUAAACUGCUGGAAGAAAGGAGCACUUGGCUUUCUCUUCCUCUACCCUGCUCCAGACCUUUCCAACACACACCUGCCGGAGGGAGAUUACAGCUCUAUUUGUGUGCUGCUGGUCAGCUGUAGGUUCAAACUGCCUGACGCCUCAUGAAGAAUGUGGGAAGUUCAGAAUAAGUCGACGAAGGGCUGAAACGGACAUGCUACGCUGAUUGUUGUCGUUCUCUUGCCCUUGGCUGGGGAAGUGGGUGUUUUGGCGUGGUUUGGGAAGGCAGGACGGGAAAGGAGUUAAUGUCAUCUUGCUGAAAGAUGUUUAUAGAUGCACUGAUAAGUUUCCUGCUCAGUCAGGGGGUUUGUGCUUGCAUCUGUUCAUUAGCACUGCUGAAACAGAGCAAUUUCUACAACAUGCUCCAUAGUCAAGCUGUGUUUUUUUUUUUUUUUUUUUUUUUUUUUUUUUUUUUUUUUUCCCCCCUUUACAGUUUUAAGACUUUAUGGUUUUAAGUCAUUGCUUACUAAAAAUAAUAAAAUGGUUAGUCAAUGGUUUUAGAAUGGCUCUUGGUAGCAACUUUGGUUCAGCUAUAAGGCUAAGUUAUAUGAUUUAUUUAUUUAUUUUUUGGGGGGAGAUUUAAAGUGUUCUGGAUGUUAGGAUGUUUGUUCUGUAUCUUUUAGCAGUGGAGAAUAGUAGAGGUAGUAAAUCUAGACUUGUGUAAUAUAAUGGUGCACAAGUCGUGUACCAAUUUAAUGUACACAUUACAAGUUUAAGAACUUCAAUUAUCAAGUAUAGUUUAUAGUUUUAUGUAAGUUUAAAGAAUGUAUAAGUGUGUAACUUAUAGAAAUUACUACACAUACAUUUAAAUGCAUAAAGUAUAGUGUACAUUAUUUAUGCACAUUAUAUACAGUUUAAAUUCUCUAAUAAUUUACUCUGUAAUGGACCACAAAUUGACCAUAUGCACGGUUACUUCCUGGGUUUUGUUAAGCCUGCUUGGGCGUUUCCGGUGAACUGUUAGCUGUCUUUCGCUGUACAUCGACACAAAACCAUCAAUGAUUGACUUUGUAAUGCUGUAUUUAUAUUUCAGUGCAGUUAUCACACUUGCUUAAUUUCCCAAUAAACGAGUUUUAUUGAUUGCAAUAAAGACAAAGCUAAUGGGAACGUUUGAAUAAGAAAUGCAGUGUCUGUAAUUAGACACGCACACGCAACAUUCCACAGCAAUUUUUUUUUUUUUUUUUUUUUUUUUUUGAAAAACAUUUGUUCAUCCUUCUGAGAUUGUCCCCAUUUGUAAAACUGAACAUUUCAAGAUGUAGGAAACCCAACACUUGAUAAACACUUAUUAAAAAAUAAAAUCCAUUAAAGGGUUAGUUCACCCCAAACUUAAAUUUGUCAUUAAUUGCUCAUCCUCAUUUCGCUCCACACCCGUAAACCCUUCGUUCAUCUUCGUAACACAAAUUAAGAUAUUUUGAUAAUCCGAGAGGUUUUUUUUUAUUUUAUUUUUUUUUUUUUUUAUCCUCCAUUGAAAGCAACAAAAUUAGCACAUUCAAGUUCCAGAAAAGUAGUAAAAACAUUGUUAAAAUAGUCAAUGUGACUACAGUGGUUAAACCGUAAUGUUAUGAAGCGACGAAUACUUUUUGUGUGAAAACAAAAAAACAAAUUCAUCUCUCCCCUGUCAUUCUGCUACGCUUAAUUAUUAUUAUUAUUAUUAUUAAUUUUUUUUUUUUUUUUUUUUUUUUGCAGUGCUUCCAGGUUCUACAUCUGAACACCAGCUCAGUAUUGGCUGACGCCUGUUCACGUGAGCAGCACGAGACAUGCAUGUCAUGCUGACGCAGGAGCCGGCCAAUAAUGAGCCGGCGUUCAGACGUAAACGCAGCACUGCGUAGGAGAAUGACAGGGAAGAGAAGACAUUGUUGAAAUCGCUUUUUUUUUUUUUUUUUUUUUUUUUUUUUUUUUGCCGCACAAAAAGUAUUCUCGUCGCUUCAUAACAUUAAGGUUGAACCACUGUAGUCACAUUGACUAUUUUAAUGUUUUAUUUUCUGGACCUUGAAUGAUGGUAAUUUCGUUGCUUUCAAUGGAGGCCUCACUGAGCCAUCGGAUUUCAUCAAAAUAUCUUAAUUUGUGUUCUGAAGAUGAACGAAGGUCUUCCGGGUGUGGAACGACAUGAGGGUGAGUAAUUAAUGAGAAUUUUUCAUUUUUGGGCGAACUAACCCUAAUUACCACUAUAACCAUCAGAUGGUGGCAGAGGACCAUUUAUUGGCUCAUAUUAGCCAUUUCCUGUAAUAGUUUUUCACUCAGUUUCGCUUUUGAAUAUAUAUUAAACAUUAUAAAAUCACUAAGUUUAAAAAUACAUUGUCAAGGUGAAGUAUGAAGUACUCACAAUCUCAUGAAAAACCAUAACUUUUUUUUUUUUUUUUUUUUUUUGUGUGAAUGAAUUACACAAAGCGCCAUGCCUCUUCCUUUACAAUUACAGAAGCUGUCAGUCAGUGCAGCGAAAGCUCAAUGGUUUUGGCACACUUGUGAAAACUUUUAUGUGCACAAUAAAUCUUUAAUUUAGAGUGUUGAUGUGUUUUUUUUUUUUUUCACACGAAAGUGAAAUUUUGCAGAGGAGGAACACUGACACGUCUUUGUCGUCUUUAGUUUGAAUAACUAAACUAACACACGGCCUGACUAUUUAAGUGACUAUAUUCUGAUUGUAAACUAAGUAUUACACUAUUGAUGCUGUUAAAGCCACCUCAGGACAUUGAAGAUACCGACACACCAACAAGUGACAUUUCACCAGAAGUUUUCCAGCUGGCUUUCCAUGCAUAUGGUUCAUUAAGUCUUCUUUCCUACUAGGAAAAAAAUGUUGUUGUCUAGAAGAAACAUUUGCAAUAAUA